UAGGGAACCCGGGUGAAAGCCUGGGUGCCCCGCGAGGGAGCCCUAGCACAGGUGCUGCAUGGCCGUCGUCAGCUCGUGCCGUGAGGUGUUGGGUUAAGUCCCGCAACGAGCGCAACCCCCGCCGUUAGUUGCCAGCGGUUCGGCCGGGCACUCUAACGGGACUGCCCGCGAAAGCGGGAGGAAGGAGGGGACGACGUCUGGUCAGCAUGGCCCUUACGGCCUGGGCGACACACGUGCUACAAUGCCCACUACAAAGCGAUGCCACCCGGCAACGGGGAGCUAAUCGCAAAAAGGUGGGCCCAGUUCGGAUUGGGGUCUGCAACUCGACCCCAUGAAGUCGGAGUCGCUAGUAAUCGCAGAUCAGCAACGCUGCGGUGAAUACGUUCCCGGGCCUU
rnacentral:rRNA from 1 species